UGGGGAAUAUUGGACAAUGGGCGAAAGCCUGAUCCAGCCAUGCCGCGUGUGUGAAGAAGGUCUUCGGAUUGUAAAGCACUUUAAGUUGGGAGGAAGGGCAGUAAGCGAAUACCUUGCUGUUUUGACGUUACCGACAGAAUAAGGACCGGCUAACUCUGUGCCAGCAGCCGCGGUAAUACAGAGGGUGCAAGCGUUAAUCGGAAUUACUGGGCGUAAAGCGCGCGUAGGUGGUUCGUUAAGUUGAAUGUGAAAGCCCCGGGCUCAACCUGGGAACUGCAUCCAAAACUGGCGAGCUAGAGUAGGGCAGAGGGUGGUGGAAUUUCCUGUGUAGCGGAGAAAUGCGUAGAUAUAGGAAGGAACACCAGUGGCGAAGGCGACCACCUGGGCUCAUACUGACACUGAUGUGCGAAAGCGUGGGGAGCAAACAGG
rnacentral:rRNA from 1 species